CAGCCGCCGCGGUAAUACGUAGGGUGCGAGCGUUAAUCGGAAUUACUGGGCGUAAAGCGUGCGCAGGCGGUUAUAUAAGACAGAUGUGAAAUCCCCGGGCUCAACCUGGGACCUGCAUUUGUGACUGUAUAGCUAGAGUACGGUAGAGGGGGAUGGAAUUCCGCGUGUAGCAGUGAAAUGCGUAGAUAUGCGGAGGAACACCGAUGGCGAAGGCAAUCCCCUGGACCUGUACUGACGCUCAUGCACGAAAGCGUGGGGAGCAAACAGGAUUAGAUACCCCGGUAGUCCCUGUCUCUUAUAC
rnacentral:rRNA from 1 species